UAUAAAAUUUCGAACUUAACGCAUUACAUAAAAAUAUAUUACAUAUUAUAUAAAACAUAAAAAAACAAAAUAUAACACAUAAAAUAUUUUAUAUAAUUUAUGUUAAAAUCUUUUUUAAUA
rnacentral:misc_RNA from 1 species